AUUGCUUUGGUAAAAACUCAAGUUGAAUCAGUGGAAAUCUCAGCGUCUGAACAUUUUUACAUCUUUCUGAUUGUGUUUGUGGUUCAAAUAUUCAUUAUAGCAGCCAUCUGGGUGUGGUUUUGCCUGAAAAAAUCUCGUCUGAAAAAACAAAUUAAUGACAAAGAUUAAGAGG